rnacentral:rRNA from 1 species
UACAGAGGGUGCAAGCGUUAAUCGGAAUUACUGGGCGUAAAGCGUGCGUAGUCGGUUAUCUAAGUCAGGUGUGAAAGCCCCGGGCUCAACCUGGGAAUUGCAUUUGAGACUGCAUAGCUAGGAUGCGGAAGAGGGAAGUGGAAUUUCCGGUGUAGCGGUGAAAUGCGUAGAUAUCGGAAGGAACAUCAGUGGCGAAAGCGACUUCCUGGUCCAGCAUCGACGUUCAGGCACGAAAGCGUGGGGAGCAAACAGG